rnacentral:rRNA from 1 species
UACGUAGGGUGCAAGCGUUGUCCGGAAUUAUUGGGCGUAAAGAGCUUGUAGGCGGUUUGUCGCGUCUGCUGUGAAAUUUCGGGGCUCAACCCCGAACUUGCAGUGGGUACGGGCAGACUAGAGUGUGGUAGGGGAGACUGGAAUUCCUGGUGUAGCGGUGAAAUGCGCAGAUAUCAGGAGGAACACCGGUGGCGAAGGCGGCCUGCUGGGAUCUGGCUGACGCUGAAGCGCGACAGCGUGGGGAGCAAACAGG